UGGGGGAUAUUGCACAAUGGGCGAAAGCCUGAUGCAGCGACGCCGCGUGGGGGAUGAAGGCUUUCGGGUUGUAAACCUCUUUCGCUAUCGAACAAGGCCCGCUUAGGGUGGGUUGAGGGUAGGUGGAGAAGAAGCGCCGGCUAACUACGUGCCAGCAGCCGCGGUAAUACGUAGGGCGGGAGCGUUGUCCGGAAUUAUUGGGCGUAAAGGGCUUGUAGGCGGCUUGUUGCUCCUGCUGUGAAAACGCGGGGCUUAACUUCGCGCGUGCAGUGGGUACGGGCAGGCGUGAGUGUGGUAGGGGUGACUGGAAUUCCAGGUGUAGCGGUGGAAUGCGCAGAUAUCUGGGGGAACACCGAGGGCGAAGGGAGGUCACUGGGCCAUUACUGACGCUGAGGAGCGAAAGCAUGGGUAGAGAACAGG
rnacentral:rRNA from 1 species